rnacentral:rRNA from 1 species
GACGAACGCUGGCGGCGUGCUUAACACAUGCAAGUCGAACGGAAAGGCCCUGCUUUUGUGGGGUGCUCGAGUGGCGAACGGGUGAGUAACACGUGAGUAACCUGCCCUUGACUUUGGGAUAACUUCAGGAAACUGGGGCUCAUACCGGAUAGAAGCUCCUGCUGCAUGGUGGGGGUUGGAAAGUUUCGGCGGUUGGGGAUGGACUCGCGGCUUAUCAGCUUGUUGGUGGGGUAGUGGCUUACCAAGGCUUUGACGGGUAGCCGGCCUGAGAGGGUGACCGGCCACAUUGGGACUGAGAUACGGCCCAGACUCCUACGGGAGGCAGCAGUGGGGAAUAUUGCACAAUGGGCGGAAGCCUGAUGCAGCAACGCCGCGUGCGGGAUGACGGCCUUCGGGUUGUAAACCGCUUUCGCCUGUGACGAAGCGUGAGUGACGGUAAUGGGUAAAGAAGCACCGGCUAACUACGUG